rnacentral:tRNA from 1 species
UUGGCUCAGUGGUUAAGCGCUCGGCUCCUAACCAGAAGGUCAGUGGUUCAAAUCCAUUA